GGGCCAGUAGGUUGGUCGUGCCACCGGUACGUACUGGUCUCACUGAUCCCUCCUUCCUGAAGAACCGUAAUGCCAUUAAUUUGGUGUUGCGGGGAAACAGGACUGUUACUUUGAAAAAAUUAGAGUGUUUAAAGCAAGCUAACGCUUGAAUACAUUAGCAUGGAAUAAUGAAAUAGGACGAUCGAUCCUAUUUUGUUGGUUUCUAGGAUUGACGUA
rnacentral:rRNA from 1 species